UAUUCGUCAUGAUAUGCAUUUCAAACCCCCCCCUGCGUACAUUUCCUGUUGCUUCCUCGAGUCAGUGAUCCUCGAUCACCUCCCGACGAUGCGCGAUGCUAUCGGUAUGACGGAGAGCACUCGAGAAUGGUCACAUCAAACCCUUGAAUUUUCAAUGUCAUCUGUCUGAACCAUGUUUAUAACAAAUAUCAAAACUUUCAACAACGGAUCUCUUGGUUCUCGCAUCGAUGAAGAACGCAGCGAAAUGCGAUAAGUAGUGUGAAUUGCAGAAUUCAGUGAAUCAUCGAAUCUUUGAACGCACAUUGCGCCUCCUGGUAUUCCGGGAGGCAUGCCUGUUCGAGCGUCAUUAAAAAACCACUCAAGCCAUUUGCGCUUGGUAUUGGGAGAGGAGCGCGCCCGUCGCCCUCCCUUCCGAAAUCCAAUGGCGGAAAGCCCCACGUGCCCCGGCGUAGUAAGUUCUCUUUCGUCAGGAACGUGAGGCCAUCCUGCCCUCAACCCCCAAUCAUAAUCUCAGGUUGACCUCGGAUCAGGUAGGGAUACCCGCUGAACUUAAGCAUAUCAAUAAGCGGAGGAA
rnacentral:misc_RNA from 1 species